rnacentral:tRNA from 1 species
GCCGCUAUCGUCUAGGGGACUAGGACGCCGGAUUCUCAGUCCGGAAACCCGGGUUCGAAUCCCGGUAGCGGUGCCU